UUAAACAUCACAGAUAACUGCAAGCUCUGUAUUUUAAUUAAUAAAAUGUUCAAAUUCCCAAAGUAACCUGAGAUUGAUAGCAGCCGCAAUUCAGUACUUGCUGUUUUCCAGUUGCUUGGACAUAUCCACACUGUGAACAUACCCCCCAAAAAGGCGGAAGCUUUUUGUGUACCUAUGGUAUGCUUGUUAGUGGAAACAAUGCAAGAACAUGGGGUUUGGUAGCACAUUGAAUGGAAAUCUUCACAGUUUGACAGGAAAGGCCCGAUGAGUGAACUCCAUGUUGUUUUGUCUAUCAAUCUGAAGAAGUGAAAGAAGUGCCAUCCCAGAAUAUGCGAGAUUGGGAUAUUGAUUAUUUUGAGUUGAAUACGCUGAAGAAAUUGUAGUUUCAGCAAGGGCUAGCUGGCCUUCUCUUGCAUCAUGUAGCAAGCCAUGAGCAUACCCCUUGGAGGGGUACUCUCCUCCUCCCCAUACAAGGGUGAGGAAAUAGCCUGAUCACAAGAGACAGGGAAUGAAGGGCUGCAAUGGACCUUAAUAAAUGUACUUUCUGAAGUAAUCCUUAUUUCUCACUAGUUUUACAACCCCCCCCCAAAUAUCUUCUAUUUCCCUAGAAAUACACUGCCCCAGUCCGAUUUUCUUUAUCCUGUAGUUUUUUUUCUCAAAUUCACCGUUCUUUGCCUAAAAAGUAUGAAAGCAAAUUGUUUGGACCACUCCUUCAGUCUUGUUUCUCAUGUGAAAAUCUCCACAUACAUGGAAAACUGAUAAAAUGUGUAUGCUUUUUUCUUGUUAAUCUGCCUCAUGUCAAUUUGGUUUCUAGAUUCAGUUGAAGAGCUCACUGACAGCUGAAGGGGUUUGGAGUUGAUCUCAAGCUCGCCUGCAGAUCAGCUGCAAGUUCUAACUCUAAGAGGAGAAGGUGUUUUCCCAUUAAAAGAACUGGGUAUAUAUUUAGGAAUGACGUACAUAAGUAAAAACUGGUUAAAGUACCAUUUUCAUGUAAAGCAUGCACUUUAAUACCAAUCCAAAGAUUAUAAAUUCAAGGUUUUAGUAUCUGCAGUAAAAUAGUCAGUGGUAUCUGAGAUCAAGAGAGUGGGUAAGAAGCAGAGAAGGAACGUAUCACGGAAUAGAAUGCAGGCGGGAUGAGUUUUCUGCUUCUCGAUUGCGAUUGCGUCGUCUCGUUGGUAGUUAAGGUUUUCCUAUUCUGGCUGUAGUAUCUGCAGAGGUUGCAGCACGCGGGUUCCUGCUCUGGAAUCAGAGUCUGAAUAAAUCUGCGAGACCUAACUGAUUGAAUAUAUUGACAACUGUGUCUAGGAAGAUGGAGCUCCAAAUUUUGCAGCGGGAACUCAUUUGGAAUCCUUGAUAUUCUUCAUUCCAAUUGUUCACCUCUACUGUAGGGCUCAGUAAACACUUAAGGAAGUUGCCGUACACUGCAGCCUGCCGGAGACAUGAAGGAAUGUACAGGAGGAUAAUCACAACAUCAUCAACCCAAUUCUCCAAGAGACAGUUUUACUAAGAAAAAUGCCUAAGAAAAAUUAGGCAAUGGCUUCUGUCCUUACAAAUGGAGAACUUCAUAAUCAAUGGAGGCUCUCAAAACCACCUGCCCAAGACUGAACUAAAUACUUCAUUCAACCAAGAAUGAGGAACUGAAAUACAUGAUUAUUAUAUAUGGGUAUCCUUCUGUUUCAUCUACUGAGGCACACUUGUGAUGAGAUGUAAAAAUUAGCCAUCUUCAGAAGGAGAAACACUGUAUUUGGGGGUAUUUCUUCUGGACAGACAAUUGGCCUUGUUAUUGUCAAAAGCUAUUUAAAAUAAAUAAAACACCAUUUUAUGCUAUAUAAAAUA